AUGAGUCAGUUCAUGAUGAGGAUGAUGACGAAACUCCAGAUCUGGCUGAAAGCGUUGCUCCAUCCUCGGCAUCCCGUACAACACAACCAGGAUCCGGCCAGGAGACCCAGACGUCAGCCUCAGCCCCCCAGCCAGAGAACGGCUCCCCUAAGCCAAAGAAAUCGCACCGGUCCCCGGCCCAGGAGAAGCGCUCAGAGACACAGCCUGGGUACCAACCGCCUGAGGCCGGAGGUCCGGCAAAAAUUGCCAAGAGCAUCCCUGUCACGGAAGAACCUGCUGCCCCGUCAGCUUCUUCAGCACUGGGUAGUCCUGGCCCAAAUACUCUCCCCUCCACCUCCACAGCUCCUCACCUGUUCCUGUUUGAGCAUGAGUCUCAACAGGUGGAGGAAGAUGAGGCAUCCCAGCCUCUUACCCAGCUCCAGCUUGACCAGGCCAAGCAGCAUCUCCUCAGCCUGAUUAAGGACUCGAAACUGGGGCUUGUCGACAUCACCAAGGCCCUUCUGAAAAACAGUGGAGUCGUCUCUGCUGCUUUGCAAGACCCACUGAUUUUGCCCAAUCCAGGUAGGUAGCGUAGUCUUCGUAGUCCAACGAAGGUGAACCUUGUGUCCCGGGAACAUGGAAGUUGGAGAAAAUGAGGGAAUUGCAAGCAUCGCCCAAGUCCCUUAACAUGUUCUCCAUCCGUGGGCUCAACACCUUAGUUUGAUUCUGUACGUAUGUACGUACGUAUUUGUGUGAUGUAUUCUAUCUGGAGGGGGAGGGUUGAGAAAUCAGAAGACAACACGUUUCUGUUGGCCACUGUAACAUGUGGAAAGUCAAAUUUCAUUGCAUCAUUUCAGUGGACGGGGCUUGGCAGGGCCCUCGAUGGGAACGUUGUGAUGACCGCCUGCUGCUUUCCGGUGACACUUCGGAACUGCAAAAGAAGUUUGGAGAAAGGGGGAUUGCCAGGAGGUUGUCUUUCCUUGACGCAGACUGACACUGCAGGUUCAUUUUGGCCCGUUGUUUUGUCACGUCGUGGGGUGGAUUUUGUAUAAUCUCUUUAUUUAAUCUCUUUGUAAUUAUAUGAUCUGUCUUCUUUAUGUUCAUUAGCUGCAUGGCAACACUCACAUUUGCACCUCUGGGCCAACAUAACCCACAACAAGCCUCGAGUGGUUGAUUUGUACGUGACCAUUUGUCGUUUAAUUUCGUUGCUGUGACGUACUGGAUGCUGUGUAAUGUGUUAUGAAUAAGAGAUUGAAGUAUACUGCUUUUAACAGACUGACUGCCUGAACUUGAUCCACAACAGGUUCAUCCAUUUUUAACCAUUUAUCGUUCUUGCCUGUGGCAUGAACAGUUUUCCAAGACUGUGCUUCAUUAAUUUUGUGCCAAGUUUAAGAAAGCAUAUUUUAAAAUGUAUUUUUUUCACCUUUAAUAAUGUAUGAAUUGGAAUUAAAAUGUUCUUAUCUAGAGUGUGGCUGUUUAUUUUGACUGUAACUGUGAUAAUUUUACAUGUGAUAUAGGUUAUGUAUGUUAUUGUGAAGUUUUUCUGUAUCCAAAUUAUCACAUGAACAGCGUAUGUUUAUUUAACCAGGGAAAAUACACAUUCAGCCUGAUCCAGACAAACUUCAACAAUAACGUAAUAGUAACUACUGGGCAGUUCUAUUCAACUGACAUAAGGAUUUGAGCACAUAAUAUAUGUUAUAAUUGUACUGAACUAAUGAAUAGAGGAUGCCACAUACUUUAGAUUCUCUCUUGAUGUUGACAGCACAGGUUGUGUGAAGUGAUGACUAGAAAAUUAACUCAUGAUCUCGACAAAC
ensembl:lncRNA